UGGGGAAUUUUGGACAAUGGGCGAAAGCCUGAUCCAGCAAUGCCGCGUGUGUGAAGAAGGCCUUCGGGUUGUAAAGCACUUUUGUCCGGAAAGAAAUGGCUCUGGUUAAUACCUGGGGUCGAUGACGGUACCGGAAGAAUAAGGACCGGCUAACUACGUGCCAGCAGCCGCGGUAAUACGUAGGGUCCAAGCGUUAAUCGGAAUUACUGGGCGUAAAGCGUGCGCAGGCGGUUGUGCAAGACCGAUGUGAAAUCCCCGAGCUUAACUUGGGAAUUGCAUUGGUGACUGCACGGCUAGAGUGUGUCAGAGGGGGGUAGAAUUCCACGUGUAGCAGUGAAAUGCGUAGAGAUGUGGAGGAAUACCGAUGGGCGAAGGCAGCCCCCUGGGAUAACACUGACGCUCAUGCACGAAAGCGUGGGGAGCAAACAGGAUUAGAUACCCUGGUAGUCCACGCCCUAAAGCGAUGUCAACUAGUUG
rnacentral:rRNA from 1 species